AAUACAAGAAAGCAUAUAAACACAAUAAAAGGCCCACAUGGUACAUGUUCAUGUCUGAUGAGGACUUGGAACAAAGGUUUUCCAAAGACACCGAUAACCAAAAUACCUGGGCCCAAUGCAUCAGAAUAAAAUAAAAGGCCCACAUGGUAUAUGUUCAUGUCUGAGGACUUGGAACAAUUACAAAGGUUUUCCUAAGAUACCGAUAACCCAAAUACCUGGGCCCAAUGCAUCAGAAA